AAGGAAUUGCUCGAAUCUAAUGAGGAAGCGCUUUCUCCUACCUUUCACAGCCAUGGAAGCUUCCUGAAAGUCGCAGUUGAUUUUGUUGUUGACACUGGACUCCAUAUUCCCCUAAAAAGAAGCUGAGUCGAAUGUAAUAGUCUCGGGGGUCCACAUUUCAACAAGUUGAGCUAAGUUGACGCCAUUUCAGGACGACGAUUAAUCUGACUGAAUGACAAACGACCAACAGGAUUUUUAGCUGAAACCAAGAUUAUAUACUGCAUGAUGGACAAACAGGAAGGUAAGUUAAAAUUAAAAAGCAGAAAAAAUCAUCCCAUAAAUGUUUCACCAUGAGGUUCAUACUGUGGUAGUUAUGAUGGCCGCCCUGUGAUAUGCCCUUGGCGAUGACAGGCAUCAGAGCAUGCUGGAUGACCAUCUCCCACAUGUGGGCCACAUCCUGCCCCACACCGCUAACAAGCAUGCUGCUUCCAUAGCCUGAGGAUCCCCCGUCGGCUCGGCUCAGGUUCUCCCCCACAUAGUACACCAGAGAUGUGGUGGCGAUCUCAAAGCAAUGUGGGUUUGCACCCUCAGGCAGAAGGUUGAAUGUUUUCGCUGGCUCCAGAGACAACACCUCAGAUAGAGGAAUUUCCUGUUGGAGAGGGUUAAGAGGUCUUGUCUGAAAGCUGAAACCUCAGUGAUGCUGCUGAGACAUGCAUGUGGAUCUGACAUUAUUGAAAAAAGUGUAAAAGGCUUCUAGAAGUGCAGAGGAUCUACCUGAUGAUCCUGUUGGACUCAUCCGGGUCUAGGUCUUGAAAAUCUCCAAGCUCACCAUGUCCAGCUUCCAAAUAAGCAGCAGAAUCCCCCACCAGAGACUCUUCCAUGUCAUCGAUAAGCGGACUGUGUCUGUCCCCAUCGUGGUCAUCACAGCCCUCCUCCAUGACCACAUCUGAUUCAGCACCGGGACUCAACAAAUCUGAGCCGCCAUAAGAAGAGAACAGGAAGAUAAAGUGAGUCAUGUGAUGUUAUAUAUUUGAUGAAAAAAAGCUGUCAGUUUAACACCAUUAAUCCUGGAACUUGAAAAUGAGCAGUUUCAAAUUCCCAUUCAGAAAAGUACAUCAAUAAUGUUUUAUUCUAAAAUAUUCUAAUAUAAAUAGGCAAUAGCAUAAUAGAGGACUCACUGCAGUUACUGUAUAUCAUUUUGUUCUUUAGCCUUUGCAAAAGAUUUUAUGCUUACUGUAAAUGUACAAAAACACUUUUGUGUCGCUCUGAUAUUAUAACUAAUAUCACAAAUGACUCAUAAUUAGGGCCAGACAGAAUUUGCAGAUAUUUUUGUUAUUUCUGCUGAGAAAUUUGUCAGAAUUCUGUGGUUUUAUGUGGAAUGAUUUUAGAAGUAUUAUAACUAAAACUUAAUAUAUGAAAAAUAAAACUUUUAAACUUUUA
rnacentral:lncRNA from 1 species